rnacentral:rRNA from 1 species
UAAUAGUGUAUAUUAAAGUUGUUGCAGUUAAAAAGCUCGUAGUUGAAUGUUGGUGUCGAACGAGCGGUCAGCUUCGGCUGUACUGCUCUCUCGACUCCUUCCUUCUGUGGACUACGUCGCACUUUACUGUGUGGCGCUAGGACGCAGAUCGUUUACUGUGAAAAAAUUAGAGUGUUCAAAGCAGGCCGUACGCUUGAAUACAUUAGCAUGGAAUAAUGGAAUAGGACGUCGGGCCUAUUUUGUUGGUUCUAGGACCGUCGUAAUGAUUAAUAGGGACAGUUGGGGCCGUUUAUAUUCCGUAGUCAGAGGUGAAAUUCUUGGAUUUACGGAAGAUAAACUAUUGCGAAAGCAUUCGGCAAGGAUGUUUUCGUUAA